AGUCUUAUAUUCAAAAAUGAUAUGAAAUUGCAAAUUUUAAGGAGUAAAUAAUUACUAAGGCUU
rnacentral:tRNA from 1 species